rnacentral:rRNA from 1 species
AGUGAACGCUGGCGGUAGGCCUAACACAUGCAAGUCGAACGGCAGCACAGUAAGAGCUUGCUCUUACGGGUGGCGAGUGGCGGACGGGUGAGGAAUACAUCGGAAUCUACUUUUUCGUGGGGGAUAACGUAGGGAAACUUACGCUAAUACCGCAUAUGACCUACGGGUGAAAGCAGGGGAUCUUCGGACCUUGUGCGAUUGAAUGAGCCGAUGUCGGAUUAGCUAGUUGGCGGGGUAAAGGCCCACCAAGGCGACGAUCCGUAGCUGGUCUGAGAGGAUGAUCAGCCACACUGGAACUGAGACACGGUCCAGACUCCUACGGGAGGCAGCAGUGGGGAAUAUUGGACAAUGGGCGCAAGCCUAAUCCAGCCAUACCGCGUGAGUGAAGAAGGCCUUCGGGUUGUAAAGCCCUUUUGUUGGGAAAGAAAAGCAGCAGGUUAAUACCCCGCUGUUCUGACGGUACCCAAAGAAUAAGCACCGGCUAACUUCGUG